UGGUUCAUUUGUCAUGAGGAGGACUUUGGGAUUUUGUUUCAGUCUUGGAUCAGGAGCUUCUCUUAGUGUUCCAAGAAACAAGAUACAAUAGCUCAAUCAACAGCUGAGGCAGAAUUCAUUGCUGCGAAAAAAGAUAUAAAUCAAGCACUAUGGUUUAGGAAAAUCAUGUGUGAUAUGAAUAUGGAGCAAUAACAAGCGAUUGAGGUUUAUACUGAUAACCAACCUGCAAUAUCUAUUGCUAAUAAUUCAAUUUUUCAUGGGAGAACUAAGCAUUUUAAUGUUAAGUUGUUUUUCUUGAGAGUCGUGCAGAAAGAUGGAGAUGUGAAGAUUUUUUACUGCAAAAGUGAUGAGCAGGUUGCUAACAUUUUCACCAAGCCCCUUCCCCUCGGCAAGUUUGAGUUUUCAGAAAGAAACUAGGAAUCUGCAGAUCCUAAAGCAAGGAGUAGUGCUAGUUUCUACGUUUUAGGAUUGCAACUUUAUUUAUUUACCGCAGUAAAUUAGUCUUCUUAAAAUAACUUCUUUUCCUAGUCUUUAGGAGUUUGUUUAUUUUCAGCAAAUUUUGUGUUGAUAUUUAGAUAGUUGAAGUUAGUGUUUUAUUAUAAAUGUAAGUCUUCAUUGUAGUGAAUUAAACUUACCAACCACUUCAAAUUCAAAAAAAUUCUUCUUUAUCAUAUCUCUGGUUAAUCCUAUUUUUACAACUUGUAUUAUUGGUUUUAUUUCAUCAUAUAGUAUCUCUGCCGGGGCUGCAUAAAACUUUACAUAAAAUAGAUUGCCUUUUGUUACUCUUUUAUAGGUUAUGAAUGCUAUGUGUAUCUCUGGUAUACCACUUAGUUCUUCUCCAUCGUAUGUAUAAACUGUACUUAAUAAUCCAUAGUUGUAACAGGUUUUAACUAAAUUUGCUUUAGUUUUUGGUUGAGCUAUCAACUUAUUAUACCCUUGUAAUUUUUGGGUUAAAUAAUCUUGGGUUGGUUCUUUAGUGGUGAUAGAUCUGGGAUUAAGAUUCAAAUAUGUUUGGAUUUUGUGUAUAUUCCUAAUAUAGGUUUGUGUGAUAUGGUUAUAAAUUUUUUCAGAUUCAUAAGUGUUCUGUCGUUCUUUUUCUGGUUUUCACUAAAUUUAAACAACAAUAAAAAAGGAGUUGCAUCUCGUAAAAGGUAAUACAAAUGGGAAAGUAUACUUAGCUAAAUCCCAUUUUUCAAUGAAACUAUAAAAAUGAAAAUAUUCUUCACACUGUUUAAAAAAUGCUAAAUUACCAAAAAGAGUUCCUCUAACAUAUGAAAGCAUGUAGAUGUGGAACAAAUAAAGAUAUCCAAUUAUCAUAGGCAUGAUGCACAUGUUAUGAUGCAUUACUUGCUGCAGAGUUGAGUUCAUAAAUCAUUGCCUAAGAUUAUUGUGGCAAUAUUGAUUAGGUUGGGGAACUUCAUUAAAGUCAUAUGCAGUAAGGUAAUAUAGCGAUCAGAUCUAGAGGAUUGUAGGCUGAAAUCUAAGAAAUUGAAGGUGAGUUUGAAAAUAUAUUUCCUCCAACUUUUUUUGAUAUAAUGGAAUAUUUGCCUAUUUAUUUGGUAGAUGAAAUUAAAUUGGGGGUCUAAAUAUUCUUCGUUAUAUGUAUACCAUGGAGAUAGAACUGUAUGAAUUUAAGGAUCUUAUUCGUAAUAAAUUUUUACCAAAAGCUUCAAUAUUAGAGGGGUAUUUUGUGAAAUAGUUCUUGACCUUUGGUUUCAGAUAAUUACAUGAUGGAGUGAAGAUAAAACUCAGUAGAUAUCAAACAAUGGAUAAUGAGGAUGCUGAAGAAGAGGAAGAUGAUAUAUCAAAUAUAUUCUCGAAGCUUGGUCAUCCAGUUGGAAAUGAGAAAAAAGCGAACGAAAAGCCUUUGAAGAUGGAUUAACAGUUAUCUUCUGAAGCACAUCGAUAUGUACUUUUCAACACUACACAUUAACAAGUCAAGGAUUUUAUCAUGUAAGUCUUUAUAUUUUGAACUUUAUUUAUUUUGUUACUAUUAAGGUACUGUAAACUUUAGUUAUAAAUGCUUAGUGUUUGUAUUUCAAAUUUUUAUUGCAAGGAACAUAAUGAUAUAAUUGACCGUACUGUUAGAUUAAAUGCAUGGUCAAGAGCAAGGAUUAAUAGUAAGGAAUUCACCAACUGUAUCAAACAGAAGGUUGAAACAGUUGAAGUGCCUGAUCAGUUAAGAUGGCUAGCUAAAGGUCCUAAUAGGGUGUCAAGUAAAAGAUAUACUGCUUAUUUCAUUAAUGGAUACUGGUUUCAUACAUUACUAAGGGAUUCCACACAAAAGUCUCAUAAGAGUGGAGUAUCACUGGCUGCAACAACUGAUACUUUCUCUAGUCCCCAAAAUCAAAACCCCAUUGAUGGAUAUGUUAUCUAUUAUGCUGCCAUUCAAGACAUUAUCGAGCUCGAUUAUUAUGGUUGUUCAUAAUGAUAAAGAUAAAUUUAAGUUGAACCGUGUGUUGUGUUGGGUUUAGGAUUUUUUUUUCCUUCCUAUGUGGAUAAAUAAAAGUCUUAUUAGGAGCAACUCACUUUAGCUCAUAACCCCAAUAUUAUGUGGCAUAUAUAAGACUUAUUUGGUCUUAUUUUAAACAGCACAAGAGAGAAAAAUCAAGAGAUAUUCGUUUUAGAGAUUGAGAGAAAAAGAGAAAAAUCCCGUUUUUGCUUCUAGAAAUUUUCUGCUCAGGCAGUCCGCUACAGACUGAGUUUUCCGCUUCAUUAACCGUUGGAUCGUGCUCAAAUUUUAACUAGGAGUUCUCAGUAUCUGGUUCUUGCAAUUCGACCGUGGAGAUCCGAUUAGGAGGUCUGUAGCGUCUUAUUUUGGGGCAUGAACAGUAGCUUGUUUUUGGGUGAAAUCUCUCCUUUAAUUCUGUAGUUUUGAUGCAAUCUUGUUUUGUUGUUGCUCGUUUUUUGGCGCUUGUUAUGUGGCCAAUUUCGGAGAACAAUUUUGUAACUCUUGGUGUUUAUAGUGGAGCUUUUGGUCCUGUAGUUUUUUACUCGUCACAUCGAAGGGUUUUCCAUGUAAAUCGUUGUCUUGUGUGAUUGACUUAUUCUUUUCUUGUUAUUUUUGUUUGGUUGAUAUACUUGUUGUCUAUUCUUCGUAUUGCUUGAUUUUGUUUGUCUUCUCUUGGUUCAAAUUGAAAGAGAAAGUUAGACUUGAGUAUUAUUCCGCUGUUAUCCUAUUGGGCAUUCUUGUUAGUGCCUUGCCUUCCCAACAUGUACCUUAACUGAUUACAUAAUAUGGAUGACCUUUUUGUGUUGGUAUCUCAAGUGCAUUAAGUAUUUUAUGUGGUUGAUCCAACUGAAACAAGUAUUUAUUAUGCAAGGAAUAAAUUCCUUGUUGAUUUGAAUGACCUGAAGGAAGAAAAUUGUCUUAACACAGGGGAGAUAAUUUUCAGGGAGCCUACUAUAGACAAUUAGACAUUGGUCCACCGAAUACAACACAUGAUGUUAACAUUAGAUAGUCAAGAGAGGAUAUCCAUGUUGAUAUGCUUCAUAUGCCUCCUAAUGCACAAUUUUUAGAAGAUACAUCUAUGGGAACAUCAUAAGAGGGAGAUGAUUAUGAUGAUACUGAUUUGGAUUGGAUUGAUUAAAUAAGAAUCUUAUAUAGCUAAUUUAAACAUUCGUCUAAAUACUAGAUGCCUAGUAAAGUUGGUUAACUGGAAUAUUUUGGUCUUCCCUAAUUAAUACACUUUUGUUGAUUUUACUGGCUAAUUGACUGUAGAUUAGGACCUUUUUUCUUGUACACUUUUGCUAAUAACAUGAACCUAAUGCUCCUCAUUAAUCUAUCUAUUUAACUUUGAAUUUUGAAAAUGUUUUCAGUUGUUUAGAAUAAUAAAAUCCUCUACUAUUUAUGUUAAAAUGUCUAUUCCUUAACUAUAGUGGCAAUGUUCUUGAUGUAGUUGUUUCAAGAUGUAUUUGGUGCCUCAUUUCUCUGCUCCUCUAUUAAUUAGUAGUAGCUAGAUUGACUGAUAUUUAAGCCAUUUGUAAGGUGGUACGAUGCUUACAUAUAGGUUUCUUUCGCUAGAUUCAACAGCCAUGAGUCCAAAGAAAAACAAAAAUGUGAUAGUAAUGAAGUACAUGGAAGUUGGAAGUCUUACUUCCAUGGCAUGCACUGUUUUUAUGAUUGAAAACAGAAACGACUAAAAAUAUUUUGCAUCAAAACUCUUCUUCUAAUUUAGCUGCACAUGCUAUAGAAGAAUGGGUGCCUCAAAGUCUUUCACUCUAGAUGCACAAGAUAUAGAGGAAAUGCUGCCGCGAAAAUCUCCACGAAAGUCUUUCGCAUGGAAUGCAUAAGCUACACAGGAGAUGCCACCACAAAAGUCAAGAAGUUUUAAGUGCAAAGCUAUACAAUAAAAAGUGUCUAGAAAGUCUACGAGUAAGAAACCCUAACUGUCUAAAAAAUUCUCAAAAUUCUCCUACUGAGCAACGAAAAUUCUCAAAAUUCUACUACUGCUAAAGCAUAGGUUUGGAAGGAACCGAUUCUACAAGUGUCUAAAAAAUCCUUCACUGUUGAAGCACGGGCAGUGAAGGAACUAGUUCAGUGGGUUACUAAGAAUGCUACCACACUAAAAGCACAUGCUGGUCAGGUACAAGUGCAACAAGUGCCAAUGGAUUCUUACACUGUUGGAACAAAAGUUGUGGAGGAACAAAUGAAACAAGAGCCAACAGAUUUUCCCACUCUAGAAGGAGAAGAUGUACAAGACCAAGUACAAGAAGAACCUCUAGAUUCUGGAGAAAAUAAUUUAUAUGUAGAACAAGACAAGAGCAUACAAAUAUACUUUUCACUAUUAUAUCAGUUUACAUUGUUUUUUAAUAUGCUGUUUCAUUUGCAGGCUCUCAGAGUCAAAAGAAAAUGAGAGGAGAUACAAUAAUGCAACAUGUACAUGCUAAAAAAGAUCAUAAAGUCAGUGUUCUUAAAAGGUACAAACAACCGAUUGGUCCUACAAAAGCAGUAGUAGCAGAGUUGGGUAGCUUUCUUGCAUUUUUGGCAAUACAUCCAAUGCUUUGUCCUCUUAACAUACACAAGUGGAGUGAUGUGGAUACUAAAAAAGAAUUGUGGGAAUAUACCCUGGUUUGCUUUCCUAUUCCCUAAUUUUAGUUAAGAAUAUUUUGUAGUUUUUAUAUUACUAACCCAAAGAACAAUUUGUAAGAGAGGUAUAAAAUUCGUGUAUCUGAAAAUAUGUGGGUUUUUGAUGGAAUUCAAUCUACUCGUAAAAGGAACAAGAAUUACUUUUAUAGGAAGUACUAUAAACCAUUUGCAACUGAUGCUCUUCGAUUGGCAAACAAACCCGAUGAUGAAGUUUAAGGAUCCUCUCAAGAAUUGGGCCAGUGAUUAAUUCAGGGUAAGAUAUGAAUCAUGAAUACUUAAGUUUGUUCUAUUUCAUGUAUAUCCUUUAACACAGUUUUAGAAUUUCUUGAACACUAUUUUGUCUGAUCAUUGUGAACAAAAAAACUAAGAAGUGGAUCACUCGGGUUGUUUAUAUUCUAAGUAUCUUGAGUGAUAAUGCUCAAGCUACCCUUAAAACAUGUAAUAGAAUAUGUUGUCGUUAGCCAUAAAAAACCAAUAAAAGAGUCAGGGUUGAAUCCCACAAGAAGUGAUAUAAUGCACGAAAAAAUCAAUUAAAAAAUUUAAAGUGUAAACAAAUUCAUUUGUAACAAUUGAAAGAAAUGGGUGGAUGAUUCCACCAAAUUUAGGAAAAGGGUUUUGAUAUCAAGUAACACAUUUAAAUUUAAAAUCAGGAUUUCAAUAGUGGAAAAGGCAAUCUAGGGGUGUGGGCAUUUGUAUCGAUGUCAAGUAAGGGUAAUUGUGCUUACUCAUUAUUGCUUAACAAUCAUUGGUAGGCUGGUAAUCUUUAUUAAUACAAAUCUUGUUACUAGAAUCUCUCUUUCGAGCAGAUCUCAACAACUAAAAUUGAACCACAAUUUCUCUUUCAGUCAAACUAUUGUAAAAAAAAUAUGUAUUGCUGUUAUUAAACUAAUUACCCACCUCAAUUAAUCUCUUUCUAGCAUCAAUCGAGGAUCUAGGCUAUGAUUAUGUUUGCAGCCUUAACCUAUGGAUUAAUCACAUGCUAAUUAGCUUAAAUCCAUGAAUCUACAACAAUAAAACAUAGGAAGAAAUAAAACCCACUACAAUAAAUCAACACCGAACUCCAUAAUCAAACCCCUAGAUUUGGGGUAUUAGCCAAACAUCAAAAAGAGAAAGAGAGUUUACCCAUGAUGAAUUCAGCCAUUGGGGAAUUGAAAAAAAGCAUCAAUAUUAAUAACCUACUUCAAUUUGAACCGCCAAUAUUAUAUUACAAGGUUAAUUUGAAAACCCCAAAAACUAAGAAAGUUUCUGGAUGAGUUCUAAAGUUAAUUCUCUGAAACUCAUAUAAAAUUAGGAAUUGAAAAUCUUUUUCCAAAACCUGAUACAUUAUAUCUCUCCUUCUUACUAUUUAUAGUUUCCAAAAAUUUGACUCAAAAUUCAUUGCGUGACCAACUUGGCGACAUUAGUCGGGCUCGCCAAACAUACUCGGUUAGUCACGGUUUGUUCGCACCUGAACACUUAAUGUAAAGUGUAGACUCAAAUAGGCUCUUCUUAAAUCCUAAACUAUGUAAAUGAUCAUCAAUCUUGCUAUACCAAGCUCUUGGUGCUUGCUUUAAACCAUAGAGAGCUUUCUUUAGCAACUUUCUACUUGUAUUUUUCUUCUUAUAUUUCUUAUCAUCCAUAGCUUUGAUACCAUUUUUCGGGGGUGCGGAAUCGGUAGGUGAGGGAUUCACAUUAGUUGUUCUAAUAGUUUUAUAUCUUCCAUAGAUUCUAUCCAAUAUUGUAAAUAUUUGUAGUUCAUUUUAAUCUGAAUUUAUUUCUAAAUCAUACCAUUUUAUUCUUUCGAGGUUUAAAUCAUGUAGGUCUAUUUCAUACCAUUGUUGGUUUAAUAUAUCUUCUGAUUUGUUAUCAUUAAAUAUUUUUUCCCAUAUUAUUCUUAUUAAUUCGAUUAUUUCUAUAUCUUUAAGUAUAUAUAAGAUUAAAGUUUCAUAGUUUUUUAUCAUUUCAUCAUUCAUGUAUGUAGUCAUGUUCGUUGUUAUGCAGGUUUUUUAUUUUCAAUUAUUCCUUCUUAUCAUAUUCAUAAUUGAUUAAAUUCAUAUUAGAUCAUUAUGAACUAGAUUAUCUUUAUCAUGUUUUCCUGUCACUACUAGCAUCGUACUUUAGCGGAUACUUCCUUCUUAUCAGCGCCUCAACUUUGUUUACUCCCCUAAACGGCUUCCUUGCCUACUAGUUUCAACAUUAGGAUGGCAUAGUAUAGAAGUUUUCUCGCUGUUUCCAAUGUGCUAAUAAACUAGAAAUCAUGAUUCAAAUAAUUCUAAUACAUAAUAACUAACAUGAAUUUAUUCAAUCAUAUAUAUGAUAUUCAGGAAUAUAUGAAAUUAGUUUUGCAUAUUUGUUGAACAAUAUACCUUUGCCUCUUGCUUAUCCAUGGUAUCUGAGGGUUGCUCCAUUAUCUAUUAAGUAAGAAUAUUUUAAAUAUUUGAGAGAGUAUUUUUAUGAAAGUGC
rnacentral:lncRNA from 1 species